rnacentral:rRNA from 1 species
AACGAACGCUGGCGGCAGGCUUAACACAUGCAAGUCGAGCGCCCCGCAAGGGGAGCGGCAGACGGGCGAGUAACGCGUGGGAACGUACCCUUUGCUACGGAAUAGCUCCGGGAAACUGGAAUUAAUACCGUAUGUGCCCUACGGGGGAAAGAUUUAUAGGCAAAGGAUCGGCCCGCGUUGGAUUAGCUAGUUGGUGGGGUAAUGGCCUACCAAGGCGACGAUCCAUAGCUGGUCUGAGAGGAUGAUCAGCCACAUUGGGACUGAGACACGGCCCAAACUCCUACGGGAGGCAGCAGUGGGGAAUAUUGGACAAUGGGCGCAAGUCUGAUCCAGCCAUGCCGCGUGAGUGAUGAAAGCCUUAGGGUUGUAAAGCUCUUUCACCGGAGAAGAUAAUGACGGUAUCCGGAGAAGAAGCCCCGGCUAACUUCGUGCCAGCCGCCGCCGUAACAC